rnacentral:sRNA from 1 species
AAACCGGAGGUGUUCAAGGAGAGGAGAGAGAUAGACGAUGAGAAUAUGGCGGU